UACGUAGGGGGCAAGCGUUGUCCGGAAUCAUUGGGCGUAAAGAGCGUGUAGGCGGCCCGGUAAGUCCGCUGUGAAAGUCCAGGGCUCAACCCUGGGAUGCCGGUGGAUACUGUCGGGCUCGAGUCCGGAAGAGGAGUGUGGAAUUCCUGGUGUAGCGGUGAAAUGCGCAGAUAUCGGGAGGAACACCGGUGGCGAAGGCGGUCUCUGGCGUUACCGGCGCUGAGGAGCGAAGACGUGGGGAGCGAACGG
rnacentral:rRNA from 1 species